rnacentral:rRNA from 1 species
GGCGAGCGGCGGACGGGUGAGUAAUGCCUAGGAAUCUGCCUGGUAGUGGGGGAUAACGCUCGGAAACGGACGCUAAUACCGCAUACGUCCUACGGGAGAAAGCAGGGGACCUUCGGGCCUUGCGCUAUCAGAUGAGCCUAGGUCGGAUUAGCUAGUUGGUGAGGUAAUGGCUCACCAAGGCGACGAUCCGUAACUGGUCUGAGAGGAUGAUCAGUCACACUGGAACUGAGACACGGUCCAGACUCCUACGGGAGGCAGCAGUGGGGAAUAUUGGACAAUGGGCGAAAGCCUGAUCCAGCCAUGCCGCGUGUGUGAAGAAGGUCUUCGGAUUGUAAAGCACUUUAAGUUGGGAGGAAGGGCAGUUACCUAAUACGUAUCUGUUUUGACGUUACCGACAGAAUAAGCACCGGCUAACUCUGUGCCAGCAGCCGCGGUAAUACAGAGGGUGCAAGCGUUAAUCGGAAUUACUGGGCGUAAAGCGCGCGUAGGUGGUUCGUUAAGUUGGAUGUGAAAUCCCCGGGCUCAACCUGGGAACUGCAUCCAAAACUGGCGAGCUAGAGUAUGGUAGAGGGUGGUGGAAUUUCCUGUGUAGCGGUGAAAUGCGUAGAUAUAGGAAGGAACACCAGUGGCGAAGGCGACCACCUGGACUGAUACUGACACUGAGGUGCGAAAGCGU